AUCACCUUUAUAUGCGAUUUUGUGGAGUGUGAGGAGCUAAUCGCCUUCUACCUGUAUAUUCGUGUACUUGGGGUGUACUUAUUCGUGGGGUAAGUUAACAUCAAUUUUGGCGGUCAUAAAAUGACUGGAGGAAUGUAGCUUCGAUCUCGUAUUGAAGUGUUAUAGCCUUCGGUAGAUGUGAUGAUCGAGAUUGAGGAUUGCAAUGGAUACCCUUCGGGGCUACCUGUCUGGUCUCUGAUUGUUGCUCUGGUGCCGAAAGCUUGCUUACGGUUAUCAAAGUCGAUGGUCAAUAGGUUAGAACGGGUUAAAUUCGUUAAGGAUGUUGACGUAAUGGCUUU
rnacentral:rRNA from 1 species